ensembl:lncRNA
UGAUGGCUCAUCAGUCCUUCUCCAGUCACUCUCCAUGAAUUUCUGUGGGAUAUCCCUCCCAGAGCUCCUGAAGAGGUAUUAUGGGAUUGUGACUAAUAAAGGGACAGGCAGAUUGUGCUGAACUCCCCAUUCUUCAUAGAUGCCUAAGCCACAUUAUGAAGAAUGUGAAGAGUCUCUGCAAGAAGCAUGCUAGCAAACAUUACCAUCUAGCCAUGCAUGUGAUCGGGAGAAUGACUCAAGCCCGAACCAUGCAUGAGCUUGAUGAUGUCUUCAUUAGCGCAGCUGUCGUCUUCUCCAGCCCUUGCAGUGCAGUGAAUGUUGAAAAACAUUUUCAAAACCUGCAGGUCCAUCUGCAGGGGAUAGACCUAGCCAUAGAAGAGGCCAAGAUUGAGGAGGAAGAAUUUGGGAGUGAAUUGGUGCAAUCGCCAUUUCUUCUGCAUUUCCAAAAUUUGCUAAGAAAUGCAAAUGGACAGAGAUGGUGACCCAAAUCUGUAUCGAUGCCCAAGCAUUAUUCCCACUCUUCUGCAGAAUCUCCUCCCUCAAGCUCCUUUGUGGACUGGCCUCCUCCUGGGUGACCUGGGACGCCAUGGGAAAGGGACAGUUUAUUUGCAGCUGUCGAAUAAAUUUGAGAAAGCAGCAAGUACAGCGAAACAGAACUACACACAGGACAACAGGACCCAAGGGAUCAUGGAGAAGAGCCAGUGGGACUUGAAGAAAGUCAGGCUCCAGGGCAGGCGCUUCAAGAGGAUGGACGAUUUUGUGGCCAUUCAUAAAGUCAGCACCAAUGCCCUGCUAAGGGAAUAUGCUGACUCACUGAAGGAAAGGAGGAAGCAGAAGAGACAUCAGGUGGAAACUGAGAAAUGGAAACACAGAAGCCAAAGGAAACGGGGAGUGUACGUGGCACCAAGGAAGAAGGCAUUUACCUUUCAGACAACAAAGAAUGCUGAACCUUUGAGCACUGCUGACUGCCCAUCUGAAAGCCGCCCAUCCUCACCCCUCGGCCCUGUGAACGUCCUUCACCUGUCUUCACCUGAACAUGCAAGUGUUCAGGUGAAUGCUGAUAGGCCAGGUGAAAGCCACUUGUCCUCAUCUGACCUGCACGACCAACAGUUAACCUUACUGUGGAGAAAGAGGUCGACAGAGGUGGUUGUUGCGGUACUGCCUUCUCAAAUUAAGGGUCGGAGCAUCUAUGUACACCACUCAGAGCUGCGUUCACUACGGCCACACCUGUGGUUGACAGGAGAGAUAAUUCAUGGAUUGAUGCAUCUCAGUGCCUACACACACAAUGUGGUAGACACCAUCUACCUGAUGGACCAUUACACGGCAGGUGUGAUUUUGUCUGGUGACAGGGCCACAGUACG